GCUCCCUACUUCCUAUCACAACAAAUUCAGGAUGUUUGGUACCAUCUGACACACUCUUGUCCAACUACACUUCCUCCUAGUCCUUGCACAUACCCCUUCCUCGGUUCAGGUCAGCAUCUUCAAUCUCCCCCAAACAGCUACGCUCGUCACCAUCUCUAUACUCGAGUCCCACGGCACUCUCUCCCAAGAUGGCUCUCCACUUACCCAAAAUGUGCCCACCUUUCAAAGCCCAACUCAUGCCAUCUCUUCUACUGGGCCACGCAGGAUCCUCCAAGCAUUACUGAUGUCCCUUGACUCUGUACUUUACACCCUGGCACAAGGAUUGGAAUUCAGUUUCAUCUCAUGCACUAACUCCAAUCAUAUAUUAGUGUUUGUCUGAAACGGUGUUGAGAAAGAUUCUGAGUCUCAAAAGGGAAAGGAACACCAUGAUUGGUCAGUGUCUGCCAGUGGGCACAAGUGGAAGGAGAAGGACUUAGUUAGCACUUACUGAUGGGUUCCUGGGCAUCGGUUCCAGAUAAUCUCUGUGUGGUAAUACAUCCCCCUGUUCCUAUCACGUAGUCUUUUCUUAGCAAAGAAACAUGGAGUGACUUGAACCCUGAUGGUAUUUGAAGUAUUGAAUCUGAAAAAUGAAGUUAUUUUGAUUAAUAUUUAAUACAGAAAGUGCUCCGUGAUGAAGGACCUGCUUGGAUUUGGGGCACGUGGAGGGAGCACUUGCCUACCGUAGAGUGUGCACUUUCGUCGGCCGACCUUCCUGCACUUUCGGAAAACGGUUUACAAUGAGAGAACUGGGGACACUGGAUUUGAUCACAGUCCCAGCUGCCACUCACUGUCUUCUCCGCCAGUGUAGAGGAGCUUUUUAUGAUAUUACUGUCUUCUCAUUCCAGGUGAAAUUUAAAACGAGCCAAGUCAGUGCUGCCACUGCACUUGGAGAUUGUCUUUAUCAAAUGAUUCAACUUAAAUGUCCCUCCCCAGUCCUUCGUUUGUGUGUGUCAUUAUCUCCACUUUCUGCCUCUGCCUCCUUCACCACUUGUAAUCCAGCCAGCCCGCAUGACUGCCCUUCUCUAUCAAGUAGUUCUCCGUGUGACUGCCCCUCUGCGCACUCAGGACUCUGACCUCUCCCUGCUGGGGCAGGCUGCCUGCCUCCCUUAAUGAAAUAAAGCGGGACCCUGCACUGAACAAGCCAGUCUCGUCACACUUUCUUGAAUGCAUCGCGUCUUUGUCCUCUUCUGCCUGAAACAACUGUCCCCUCGACUCUUGGCACAGCUCGACUAUUCUUGUCCCUCACAUUUCCGUCUUCACAAGGCCUUUGCUGAUCCCCUCCUCUCCAACACCUGCCAUCCUCCAUUAUCUCCCUAGAGGCUUCCAAAAUAACUCUCACGAUUACAUCAUGCUUGGAAUUAC
rnacentral:lncRNA from 1 species